UUAAUUGAAGAGUUUGAUCAUGGCUCAGAUUGAACGCUGGCGGCAGGCCUAACACAUGCAAGUCGAACGGUAACAGGGAGCAGCUUGCUGCUCUGCUGACGAGUGGCGGACGGGUGAGUAAUGUCUGGGAAACUGCCUGAUGGAGGGGGAUAACUACUGGAAACGGUAGCUAAUACCGCAUAACGUCUACGGACCAAAGUGGGGGACCUUCGGGCCUCAUGCCAUCAGAUGUGCCCAGAUGGGAUUAGCUAGUAGGUGGGGUAACGGCUCACCUAGGCGACGAUCCCUAGCUGGUCUGAGAGGAUGACCAGCCACACUGGAACUGAGACACGGUCCAGACUCCUACGGGAGGCAGCAGUGGGGAAUAUUGCACAAUGGGCGCAAGCCUGAUGCAGCCAUGCCGCGUGUAUGAAGAAGGCCUUCGGGUUGUAAAGUACUUUCAGCGGGGAGGAAGGUG
rnacentral:rRNA from 1 species